rnacentral:rRNA from 1 species
UACGUAGGAGGCAAGCGUUGUCCGGAAUUACUGGGCGUAAAGCGCGUGUAGGUGGUGGGACAAGUCUGCUGUGAAAGCGCCUGGCUUAACCGGGCGAGGUCGGCGGAAACUGUUCGACUCGAGGACGGUAGAGGGGGGUGGAAUUCCCGGUGUAGUGGUGAAAUGCGUAGAUAUCGAGAGGAACACCGGCGGCGAAAGCGGCCACCUGGACGAGGACUGACGCUGAGAUGCGAAAGCGUGGGGAGCAAACAGG